rnacentral:rRNA from 1 species
AUUGAACGCUGGCGGCAGGCUUAACACAUGCAAGUCGAGCGGAGAGAGGUAGCUUGCUACUGAUCUUAGCGGCGGACGGGUGAGUAAUGCUUAGGAAUCUGCCUAUUAGUGGGGGACAACAUUUCGAAAGGAAUGCUAAUACCGCAUACGUCCUACGGGAGAAAGCAGGGGAUCUUCGGACCCUGCGCUAAUAGAUGAGCCUAAGUCGGAUUAGCUAGUUGGUGGGGUAAAGGCCUACCAAGGCGACGAUCUGUAGCGGGUCUGAGAGGAUGAUCCGCCACAAUGGGACUGAGACACGGCCCAGACUCCUACGGGAGGCAGCAGUGGGGAAUAUUGGACAAUGGGCGGAAGCCUGAUCCAGCCAUGCCGCGUGUGUGAAGAAGGCCUUAUGGUUGUAAAGCACUUUAAGCGAGGAGGAGGCUACUUUAGUUAAUACCUAGAGAUAGUGGACGUUACUCGCAGAAUAAGCACCGGCUAACUCUGUGCCAGCCGCCGCAGUAA